rnacentral:rRNA from 1 species
GAUGAACGCUGGCGGCGUGCUUAACACAUGCAAGUCGAACGAAGCAUUUGCGACAGAUUUUUUCGGAAUGAAGUUGCUUAUGACUGAGUGGCGGACGGGUGAGUAACGCGUGGGUAACCUGCCUUGUACUGGGGGAUAGCAGCUGGAAACGGCUGGUAAUACCGCAUAAGCGCACAAUGUUGCAUGACAUGGUGUGAAAAACUCCGGUGGUAUAAGAUGGACCCGCGUCUGUUUAGCUAGUUGGUGAGAUAACAGCCCACCAAGGCGACGAUCAGUAGCCGACCUGAGAGGGUGACCGGCCACAUUGGGACUGAGACACGGCCCAGACUCCUACGGGAGGCAGCAGUGGGGAAUAUUGCACAAUGGAGGAAACUCUGAUGCAGCGACGCCGCGUGAGUGAAGAAGUAAUUCGUUAUGUAAAGCUCUAUCAGCAGGGAAGAUAGUGACGGUACCUGACUAAGAAGCUCCGGCUAAAUACGUG